UUUUUUUUUUUUUGCCUUUACUUUUUGUGGUGUCGACUGAAAUUUCUCAGUAGAGAGGGUGUAAAUCCAUUUGAAAUCUAGGCACUUUCGUUUUUUGCUUAGAUGUGCUCGAUGGAUGCUAAAGCUUAUGUCUUGGCAAGAAUGGACCAACACCUUAACUUCGUUAGAAAGCGGAUUCACAUCCAUCCUUCUCCUUAUUUUGGCCCUUUUGUUAGGCAUUGAAUCCCUCCUUAGGUGCUCAGUGGUGUCAUCUCUUCCGCAACACCUAAAUGGAGGUUUGUUUCAUUCCUUUCUAAUGUGAUGCAGAUUCAUUGUGCUUAGAAAUUUUUCAUUUUCAAAACAGAAAUAUAUGAAGGGGUUGGAUUUAUUUUGGUUCAUUAUAUAAACUUACUCCAAUAAGAUAAGCAAAACCUAAUGUUGAAACGAAAUAAAAACUCAUUUAAUAGUACAAAGAAAUGCUUCUAAAGGAGCCAGGAUUUCUAAUACUUCUGUCGCCAAAUUAAUCUACUUUUGAAAAAGCAACAAAAAUAAGAACGUAAAUUAAACAGUAAAAGAACCUCGGGACACCAGGUACCUUUCUAAGUCUCGAAUAAUAUAUAAAUAGAAGAUCCAAUCUAAUGUUCCCUUCCGUAGGAUCUCAUCCUCCGACCAAAGUUAGACUACUCUCGAUAUUUGGUAUAUGCUGUAUUUUAUAACCCAGUUUUCAGUAGUCUCUCGCACUAAACAGUUAAAGAACAGACACUUUGCACCACUUAGCGCCCUAACCAAUAUCAGCAUUCUAUAUUUUAUAAUUGAAACAAAUAAUUUUGAAGAAACCCUACGGUUCAAUCUGACCGUAACAUUUCAUACUAUAAAAUAUCAAUCACUAUUUUGUAGUAUAGCCAAUAUUGUACAGCCGAAAUGGUAACAACUAAGUUAUCAAACUUAAAGUGAAGUGACCGCUACAGAAGUGCAAAAUUGCACGAGUUGACCACCCCUCCCUAAUCUUCCCUCGAAAGCCAACAAGGCAGAAAAGGCUCCUUUAACAGUAAAGCACCAUAUAACAUUCAGAAUGGAGAUAUCACAACUUGUAAACCAGAAACCAGCUUUGCUCCAGCAGGUUGCAGCUUGUGCUUCAAUGAGCGUGUUUCGCCUAAUGCCCAGCACGUUCUCAGCCACACAAUUUAUCUUCUCACCACACUAAUGAUGGUGCUGAUAAAGAAUGUCAGUUUCACCAAAUGAAAGUGUGAUCAAUAACAUGAAUCUUCAAGAUGUGCUUCAACUAGGUGAGACUAGAACACUUCCCUCUGAGAGAAGGCUACACCCAGCUUGGAUGUGCUGCUUUUGCAACAGCUCCAAUUCACUAGAAGGGAAAACCUCUNNNNNN
rnacentral:lncRNA from 1 species